rnacentral:tRNA from 1 species
CUGCUUAUGGUGUAAUGAAGAACACAACUGGUUUCUACCCAGUAGAGUGAGAGUUUGAAUCUUUCUAAGCAGGCCA